AGCGAACGCUGGCGGCAGGCCUAACACAUGCAAGUCGAGCGGCCGUAGCAAUACGGCAGCGGCAGACGGGAUAGUAACACGUGGGAACGCGCCCUUUGGUUCGGAAUAACUCAGGGAAACUUGAGCUAAUACCGGAUAAGCCCUUACGGGGAAAGAUUUAUCGCCAUAGGAACGGCCCGCGUCGGAUUAGCUAGUUGGUG
rnacentral:rRNA from 1 species